rnacentral:rRNA from 1 species
GACGAACGCUGGCGGCGUGCUUAACACAUGCAAGUCGAACGAAGUGGCGAACGGGUGCGUAAUACUUGGUUAACCUUCCCUCCUUUUUGGGAUAAGCCUUGGAAACGGGUGCUAAUACCGAAUAAAGGGGUAUGGGCUCGCGGCCUAUCAGCUUGUUGGUGGGGUGAUGGCCUACAAAGGCGGGGAGGGGUAGCCGGCCUGAGCGGGUGACCGGCCCCAUUGGGACUUAGAUACGGCCCAGACUCCUACGGGAGGCAGCAGUGGGGAAUAUUGGACAAUGGGCGAAAGCCUGAUCCAGCCAUGCCGCGUGUGUGAAGAAGGUUUUCGGAUUGUAAAGCACUUUAAGUUGGGAGACGUUACCAACAGAAUAAGCACCGGCUAACUUCGUGCCAGCAGCCGCGGUAAUUC